rnacentral:rRNA from 1 species
GGCUCAGAUGAAACGUUGCGGGCAGGCCUAAAACAUGCAAGUCGAACGGUAACAGCGGAAGCUUGCUUCCGGCUGACGAGUGGCGGACGGGUGAGUAACACGUAGGAAUCUACCUAGUAGUGGGGGACAACCCGGGGAAACCCGGGCUAAUACCGCAUACGCUCUACGGAGGAAAGCAGGGGAUCUUCGGACCUUGCGCUAUUGGAGGAGCCUGCGUCGGAUUAGCUAGUUGGUGGGGUAAAGGCCUACCAAGGCGACGAUCCGUAGCUGGUCUGAGAGGACGAUCAGCCACACUGGAACUGAGACACGGUCCAGACUCCUACGGGAGGCAGCAGUUAGGAAUCUUGGGCAAUGGGCGCAAGCCUGACCCAGCCAUGCCGCGUGUGUGAAGAAGGCCUUCGGGUUGUAAAGCACUUUCAGCGGUGAAGAAAAGCUCAGGGCUAAUACCUCUGAGUCUUGACGUUAACCACAGAAGAAGCACCGGCUAACUCCGUGCCAGCAGCCGCGGUAAUACGGAGGGUGCGAACGUUAAUCGGAAUCACUGGGCGUAAAGCGCGCGUAGGCGGUUUGUUAAGUGGGAUGUGAAAUCCCCGGGCUUAACCUGGGAAUUGCAUUUCAAACUGGCCGACUAGAGUACGGUAGAGGGAGGUAGAACUUCCUGUGUAGCGGUGAAAUGCGUAGAUAUAGGAAGGAAUACCAGUGGCGAAGGCGGCCUCCUGGAUCGAUACUGACGCUGAGGCGCGAAAGCGUGGGGAGCAAACAGGAUUAGAUACCCUGGUAGUCCACGCCGUAAACGAUGAGAACUAGCCGUUGGAUCCCUUGAGGGUUUAGUGGCGUAGCUAACGCGAUAAGUUCUCCGCCUGGGGAGUACGGCCGCAAGGCUAAAACU